rnacentral:rRNA from 1 species
UACGAAGGGGCUAGCGUUGCUCGGAAUCACUGGCGUAAAGGUGCGUAGGCGGUCUUUAAGUCAGGGGUGAAAUCCUGGAGCUCAACUCCAGAACUGCUUGAUACUGAAGAUCUUGAGUUCGGGAGAGUGAGUGGAACUGCGAGUGUAGAGGUGAAAUUCGUAGAUAUUCGCAAGAACACCAGUGGCGAAGCGGCUCACUGCCCGAUACUGACGCUGAGGCACGAAAGCGUGGGGAAGACAAGAGUAUAAUGAC